GCACCUUUAAACAUGCCAUUAAAACAAAAAGAAGCCGAAGAGGUCACAUGACGAAGCAAUCCUAGUCAUAGUGUACAGCAGUUCUGCUUGGUUUUCCACGCCUACUUUCUUUUGAGUUAAUCCAAGUUAAAGUGUUAGGCAGAGAAAGGACCGCUGUUCAGGAGAAAAAUCACCUUUUGGGGCCAAGACACAGCAACGGGUCAUUUAUAUCCAUAUCAACCGCACCAGGACGACACACGCCGACGAGAAGUUUGUAGACGUCAUGGGGAGCAUGGUGGAGUCUCCUCCAUCACUGCCCCCUUCAUCCUCUUCCUCCGAUUACUGUCCUCCUCCUCCUCCUCGUCCUGCUCCAGCAGCAAUGCCCUUCACACCUGGGAACUGUUCUGAAGACCCGCCCGCCAGCCAACAGCAGCCUGAUAAUACUGCAGGAGCACCAUCAGAUGGGGCUAUAGAGAACACGCCGAUUCAGACACGAGGACUAGAGAGCUUCACAUCUGAUUACUGAUUAUUUGUUGGGAUACUGAAUAAUUGACGAGCUCUCUCGUAGGAAGUUUCCGGAGCCCCCACGCAGGAGACAUGCACAGAUGAAGCAGAGAAGCUGAAUGAGCCAGUGCAGGAGAGCAGAGAUGGAGAAGGGGCGGGGCAUGAGGAGGCGGAGCAAGGUGAUGCGGCCUGCGCGGGAGGUAAAGGAGAGCCUGACGUUGCCGCCCAGUGACACUUUAAGGAUGAAUGAGACGCCAGGAGCAGCCUCCCUGGCAAGCGCCACCACUUUACUCCACUACACGAGUACUGUGUGUUCUGUAACCGAUGCUGCCUUGAAUGCAAAUGGACAUUAAGGGAUGACUGAUGAAGGAAUAAUGUGCGUUUCCUAUCCCUCAGUUCAACUGAAUGAAAACUAGGUAUGUGUGAUACGUGUAGGUGCGUGUAUGAAGUCUCUGAGGCUCUGAGGGAGACGCUUUAUUAUUAUUAUUAUUAUUAUUAUUAUUACCCUUUAAUAAAAAUAUCUGCUUGGAGUAAAAACCUCCAGUCUCGGUUUUGUGUCCACUCAGGCUCUAACCGAAAGUGAACCACUAACAUACAACCAAUCAGGACAAGGAUUUGGUGUUUUUGGAGUUUCGGGGCAGUUUUGCCGAAAGAUCUGAACAAAAUCACUGACACCACUUUUAAGGCUAUUACUAAAUAUAGAUACUAGGAUGAAACACACACACACACACGCACGCACACCAUUUCUUUUGGUCAGUUAACAGAAUAAUAAGAUUGGGUUAGGCUAUCGAAGGGACUUGACUAUGAUUUAAUGCUGUAUUGUAGACUAGCAUUGGUUAUGUUAGCACGCGAUCAAUGAAUAAAUGUUAAAAUAAUGAAUUUGUUUGCUUUAGUUUGGGGGCAUGUAAAGCUAAAACAAGGAAGUAAAUACUAAGCGUAAACACAAGACAUAAAGAACAUUAAGGAUCAUUAAAACAUUAAGCAUUUUCGGGGGAGAAGCACCCAGACUCCGUGAGACGCACAUUCACAGACACGUUGCAAUGGUUGCGUAAGCAAUGACAGCAAAGCAGUGCCGUUGUAAUCACACAUUAAGAAUGCUAUUUUAUAGUAACCCUGUCAGUCUCGUGUUUGUUCGAUAGCAAGUUGAAUGGCUAGAAUGGCAGUAGCCAGUUUAGACGGGUCUCAAGAUGACGUGAGCCAAAUUCGAUGAAGAUUGGACAAAAUUUCGCAGCGAAAAUGGCAUUUUUGGCAUGUUAUUGUAACUUUUGACCAGUAGGUGGUGCUGCUCGCAAUUUGUUGCAUAGCCUCAGGACGUGGUCCUGAAGACGCCUACCAGGUUUUGUGUCGGCGCUCAGAGCUCAGCUGUAAACGUUGUAAUAUUUACACCUUCAGUGAACGAUCAACAUUCAGCGACAUGCUAGCAUUUAAUUAGCGCUAAUUUACGAUUGAAUAAACAGUCAGCGCAGGAGCAUGUGAUUCACGUGUCAUCAUUCCAGUAAGGAAUAACACGGGUGGUGUUCCAAAUAUAAUCCACACUGAGGUCAUGUGAUACUUCCUGACACCAAGCGGAGGACUAUUUCCCAACAAUGACGGUUUUUAAUGUAUCAAUCCAUGACGCAUCGGAUGUUUUAGCCGUUUAUAGUGACAGAAGACUGUUACUGACACUGGAGACUCCUUCCCUAAACGUUACAUAAAUAUUCCCAUAUAGAAAACGUCGCCAAAUCAACGAUGAUACGUUUUUCAUCGUUAAGUAACAACACUUAAAAAAAAAAAAAUAAUAAAAUUUUUAAACCCAACUGUUUAUUAUUUUAUUUAUUGUCAUUCGUCCCUCUGAAUGAGCUGUCGCUAUGGAAACGAUAACACAUUAGAGUCAGUCCGUUGAUAUACCGCUGCGAUUUCUGUUCAAGCUAGAACUACUGUCGCGUCAACAUUACUUAGUUUAUUUAUGCUCAUUUAAUGUUCAUUAAUGCAGGAAAUAAACAAAUGUUAUGGAAGGAAACUUUAAAGUCCUAUAAAGGCAAAAAAAGAUAAAGUCACAAGAAGCAACACAGGGUGAAUAGAAAAUGAAAAAAGGCUUAAACGAUAAUAAAACCAUAGUAGUAGUAGUAGUAGUAGUAAUAAUAAUAAUAAUAAUAAUAAUAAUAAUAAAAACCUAUGUAAAAUAGAAUGAGGAAAAUAGGUAUAAUAAAGUGUGGUAAAAAUGUUUCUACUGUUUGAUUGGACUGUGGAGAGUGGGGUGAAUCAGACGCUCUCACGUUUCAAGCAAAAGCCCCAAAACCUCCUGCUGAGUUCUUCUUAAUGCCUGGAAUAGAAAGCUGGAGUGUAAAGAGCAGAAGGUCAUGUAGUGUUUUAGUGCUACGAAUACAGACCGCUGGAAAUGAAACGCAGGAACUUCUCGUGUUCAUGAGAUUCAGAGCUAAACAAGCUAAAACAAAACAACAACAACGCAUAGAGGCAACAUUAAUAUUCAUGUCCUUAAUGACAUCCAUCCAUCUUCUAUACCGCUCUAUCCUUUUCAGGGUCAUGGGGAAACCUGGAGCCUAUCCCAGGGAGGAUCACAAGGCGGGGUACACCCUGGACAGGGUACCAAUCCAUCACAGGGCACAAUCACAUACCCAUUCAUACACUACGGACACUUUAGACACGCCAAUCAGCCUACCGUGCAUGUCUUUGGACUGGGGGAGGAAACCGGAGUACCCGGAGGAAACCCCCGCAGCACGGGGAGAACAUGCAAACUCCGCACACACAGGGCCUCGGUGGGAAUCGAACCCCCGACCCUGGAGGCGUGAGGCGAACGUGCUAACCGCUAUGCACCCUUUCCUUAAUGACAAUUUAUCGGAAAUAAAAUGGCGAAGAAAUAAUAAUUCCAAUAUUAUGAAACGAUUACUUAUUGUUUGGUCAGAAAUCUUCAAGGUUGAAUGAUUGAUUUGUUUGUUUGUUUAUUUAUCUGUUCAUUUAGCAUUAUAAUGCUGUCUAGUACAGUGGCGAUAUUAAAACAGUGUCGAUUUUUUUGGUCAUUUGAAAUAAACAAUAAAAAAAGAAAUAACAGAAACGAACUAAACUAGAAACACUUGUGCUACACCACAUUAACACCCCCCCCCCCCCAUUUUUUUUUUCUUUAACGGAGUGAUUGAUGGAUAGAGACACGGCUCGGGUUUAAAUUCUCAGAACUAAUGGCACUUCAGGUUAAAGCCCUACAGCGACCCAGCACGUCCUCUUCAGUAACGUCAGGUCCUAACAGGCACACUAAAUUACAGAGCACGUAUAUAUGUGGGCUUGGAGCGUUUUCAGUGUAAGCGAUCCACUGAACUGCGUGCUAUGAGUAAUCGGCCUUCAGAAUUCAUUACGUUGAUAAAGUGUCUCGGACGCGGGUUGGAUUUAAACUUCAGUUUCCACGACGAGGCUUUUUUUUUUUCUUUCUCCCCGUGGCUGUUGGUUAAAGGCCACGAAACACCAAGACAGCACAUCUGUAAUUUGUGUGUGUAAAAUCGGUGGAGCUGACCCUGGGGCUCUGUUUCAGCUUCUCUGAGCCGACUCGUGUUUGAUUUGAACAAAAAAAAGCUCUAACGCUGGUGUGAGACGUGAGGACGGUAGCGAUAGUUCAAGCCCAAAAGCAGAAUUAACACAAUACUCCGGUCACAACGAUGACAAACACAAAAACCCCAGCCAGUUAUACAAGACGCUCAGUGUGUGACGUCUUGCACUGGAGCUGUAAGUGACGAUUAUAGCCACCGGUUUAGCAUCAUGCUAACUGCGUGUCUCAGCGUUGCUAAACAGUCUCCUGUGCACUUAAUUCUGUGCUGAUGACUGCGACUUCCUGUUACAGUCCUAAGCACAGAACUUCCUGUACUUCCUCUUCCAGGCCACAUCACACCAGUCCGUCACUGAUUAUUUUACUGUAACAGGUCCUCGGAGCAGCUGCUGAUCUCGGCUGAAGGUUAAGGGGGACUGUGACUGUGCAGUGACUGUGCGGAGGGUGGUUUUUUUGUGUGUCUAAAUUAGCAUUUUAUUUACAUUUUUUUUUUUUACUUGAAGAAAAGUAGUUCCUUCUUUCCUCUAUUUAUAUUUCUUUCUUUUAUUGUCUAUACCCAUUUUUAUUCUCUUUACUUGCUCCUUUUUUUUGUGAUGGUAACUAUGUGCAGCAACUUUCAUUGUUUAAAUGUGUUUGUAAAUAAAUCACUUACUUAUUCCUUCCCUUAUUUCUUUCCUUCCCUCUUUAUUUCUUUCCUUCCUUGUUCCUUCCUCCUUCCUUCUUCGUUCUAUCCUUCCUUCCUUCCCACUUCUUUCCUUCCUUGUUCCUUCCUCCUUCCUUCUUCGUUCUAUCCUUCCUUCCUUCCUUCCCCCUUCUUUCCUUCUUCCUUACUCCUUCCUUCCUUCUUCGUUCUAUCCUUCCUUCCUCCUUCUUUACUUCCUUCUUACUUAAUUCAUUCCUUCCCCCUCCUUCCUUAAUUCUGACCUACUCCUUCCUUCCAAAUUCCUUCCUUACUUACUUCUUACUUAUUUCCUACUUCCUUCCACGUUCCUUACUUCUUCUUCCUUACUUAAUUCUUUCUUCUUACUCCUUCCUUAUUUACUUAAUUCCUUCCUUAGUUCUUACUCUCUCCUAAUUCCAUCAUUACUUACUUUUUACUCCUUUCCUUACUUUCCUUCAUUCUUUUCUUCCUUGCCCCAUCAUUACUUCUUUCCUUCCUUCUUCUUCCUUCCUCCGUUCUCCCGUCCCUCCUCAUUACUUCCUUCCUUCAUUCCCCCUUCCUUGUUCAUUCCUUCCGUAAGUCUUACUUACUCUGUCCUAGUUCCUUCCCUCUUUCUUUUCUUACUUCUCCCUUCCUUCGUCCUUCCUUUGUUUUCCUUCUUUCCUUCCUUCCUCCUUACUUUUUCCAUCUGUCCUUUUUUCCUUCCUUCCUUACUUCUUCCUUCCUUCCUUCCUUCCUUCCUUCCCUUUGGAAACACAAUUUCCUUUUUUAGAAUUAAAAACACACACACGUUUAUGCAGUCAAGAACAUCAUUUAUUCAACCAGUUGCUCUUUACAAACUGUUUUUUUUUAUUUUUAUUCUUUAUAAUGGAAAAAGAAUCUGUAGUUAACACAUGCACAUUUUGCCAGCGGGCUCUGAGGGGUCUCUAGCUGAAACAGGAGCUUUUCCUGAAAGCGCAGGACACAGGGAUCCACUAGGGGGCGCUAAGACUAGAAACGUCUCAAACACAACUUCUGCAGCUCAGAAAAAUUCGGAAGCAUAACGAAGCAAAACCAAAAAAACCAAAAAAAAGUAAUUAAAAACACAAGGCAGUAAAGAAGUGAUUAGUUUCGACUGAUGUUAUGCCAGAGUGGGGAUAUUUAGGUAGACACUCCAUGUCCUACGAUUUAACCUAUUUAUUUACUUAUUUAUUUAUUUUAAAAAACGUCCACUCUGUAAGCAAUCUCUCAUCGUCUGUAAUAUUAAUACUGACUUCGGUUAGAUUAAACACACCUCCUGAACUCACGUCAAUCUCCCAUUACGAUGGACUGAAAAAAGGACAUUCUCCAUAGUGUUACUCGUGUGAUAUUUAAGUGCAUUUCACGCUAAGUGCAUUCUGCCUCAUAAGGUGCUUUCAACAAUUCAUCAGCCAACAAUUUCUUAAAAGUAGCCUGGCUCUUCUAAUAAAGAAAGGUGCUUUUUUUUUUAUAGUUUUAUUUUAAGGUCCACGGUUCCCUUGGAGAGAAUCUUCUGGACCGUACCCUGAUAGAAAAGCAUUAAAAAAAAAAUUCGAAUAUAGUAUAAAAUCGUAGUAACAAACGAAAACAAAUAAAUUAGAAAAAAAAAUUUAAAAUUCCGCCGAGCUGCUUGAUAUCACCCGGUGUCCUGCGUUUACAGCAAAACCGUUCGACACGCGGAAGCCGAUCGGAAACGUUAGCAUUGCUCCUCCACCGACUACGACGGCGCGUGCUGGUACUCGCUGCCGCGCGGAACCUGUCGCGUGACCCCACGGAGCCCGGACGGCCACAUUUCACUUACACUAGCAGUAGAAACAGAGAAGCGGCAGAACAGGAGAGAGAUCGGUAUGGCGUAACAAGAACAAGCUUACAGACAAGGAUAUUCUGCUCAAGAGGAAAAAUAAAAUAUAAAAGCAUCGUUUUGGGGCGGGGGGAAGGGAGGCAGGAUGUACGACAGGGUAAGACGGACGUCUUGUACAACAUCUCCAGUAACGCAAAAGAAGGAGAAAGGGAAAGGGACAUUUUGCCUUUACAUUUUUUUUCAGCAUUGAACAAUAAAAAGAACUAAAUCACAUCCAUUUCCUGUAUUACUAUAUUUUU
ensembl:lncRNA